UACGUAGGGGACGAGCGUUGUCCGGAAUUAUUGGGCGUAAAGAGCGUGUAGGCGGCUACUCAAGUCCUGCGUGAAAUCUCGAGGCUCAACCUCGAGCGGUCGUGGGAAACCGUGUGGCUAGAGUCCGGAAGAGGAGAGUGGAAUUCCUGGUGUAGCGGUGAAAUGCGCAGAUAUCAGGAGGAACACCGGUGGCGAAGGCGGCUUUCUGGACAGUAACUGACGCUGAGGCGCGAAAGCUAGGGGGAGCAAACAGG
rnacentral:rRNA from 1 species